rnacentral:rRNA from 1 species
UACAGAGGGUGCGAGCGUUAAUCGGAAUUACUGGGCGUAAAGCGUGCGUAGACGGUUAUUUAAGUCGGGUGUGAAAGCCCCGGGCUCAACCUGGGAAUUGCAUUCGAGACUGAAUAGCUAGGGUACGGUAGAGGGAAGUGGAAUUUCCGGUGUAGCGGUGGAAUGCGUAGAGAUCGGGAAGAACAUCGGUGGCGAAGGCGGCCUGCUGGGCUGUUGCUGACGCUGAGGCGCGACAGCGUGGGGAGCAAACAGG